rnacentral:rRNA from 1 species
GAUGAACGCUGGCGGCGUGCCUAAUACAUGCAAGUCGAGCGAACGGACGAGAAGCUUGCUUCUCUGAUGUUAGCGGCGGACGGGUGAGUAACACGUGGAUAACCUACCUAUAAGACUGGGAUAACUUCGGGAAACCGUAGCUAAUACCGGAUAAUAUUUUGAACCGCAUGGUUCAAAAGUGAAAGACGGUCUUGCUGUCACUUAUAGAUGGAUCCGCGCUGCAUUAGCUAGUUGGUAAGGUAACGGCUUACCAAGGCAACGAUGCAUAGCCGAACUGAGAGGGUGAUCGGCCGCACUGGAGCUGAGACACGGUCCAGACUCCUACGGGAGGCAGCAGUAGGGAAUCUUCCGCAAUGGGCGAGAGCCUGACGGAGCAACGCCGCGUGAGUGAUGAAGGUCUUCGGAUCGUAAAACUCUGUUAUUAGGGAAGAACAUAUGUGUAAGUAACUGUGCACAUCUUGACGGUACCUAAUCAGAAAGCCACGGCUAACUACGUG